GUGUGUGUGUGUGUGUGUACUGUCAUGGUUAUUUUGUAUAAGACUGUAAAUUUCAUCUUGACAGCAAAUUCUAUGCAUCCAUUUCCUUGCUGAAACACGUUUCCAUAUGGACACAACAGUGAGCACGGGGCAGCCUGUGGGUCACAUAGAGAAGAAGCUAAGAGUUGUAGCCCAGCAGCUUACAAGGGACUUGGAGGGAGAUUUUUCUAGAGUUGAGCUUCUGAUGAGAUUCUGAACCUGGCUGACACUCUGACUGCAGCCUUGGGAAGGAUCCAGAGCAGAGCAUCCAAUUACAUCGCACCUUAAAUUCCCGACUUACAGAUAUGUGUGAUGUUUAAGCUACUGUCUUUGUGGUGGCUUGUUAGGGAGCAAAAGCCAAGUAACAUUCUCCUCAGUGAUACAAAUGGGGCCACAUCCCAAAGAAAGGAACAGAGACUGGAACAGGUGAGCGUGGUGAUGCAGGCUUGCAAUGCCAGGCUCAAGAGCCAGAGGCAGCGGGAUCUGGAAUUCAGGGUCAACCUGAGCCAAAUACCAAGUCCUUGUUUGGGCUGGGAAUGCAGCCCAGCAUAUCAAAGCCCAGGGCUCAACCCCUAGCACUGCAAAAGAAGGUGGAGAAGAUGGAGGAGGAGAAAGAAAAAGAUACAAAAGACAGAAGAGAGCAUCAGUUUGGAUAACUGUGGACUCUAGAUUUUCGUUCCUGAUAAGGCCUCACUACGUUGCUCAGGUUGGACUCUCUAUGGAGAUCUUCCUGUCUCAGCUUCCUGAGCGGUUUGGACUACAGUGUACAUACCAUCCAUGUGGUGUGGGUUUGAGGAGGAGAAGUCCUCCAUCAAAAAAGGUUAGGAGUCAUCUCGUGGAAGCCGAGACAAGACUGCUGUUUAGACAGGCAAGAAAAAGUGAAGACACAGGACCAGCUACAUCAUUCUCGCAAAAUGGAAGUGCAGUCUUCAGCUCAGAAGUCACCGGCAACGUUUACACAGAGACAACUGAACACAAGACCCUCCUGACGUGCUUUUGAGGCCUUCUAGCCAAAAAAGGCAGCCCUGUCAGCCAAAGGUGCUGAAAGCUUCUUAGGGGGCAAAAGAUGAGACCUUCUUGUCCUCUGCGUCCCCCACUGAGAUGAUUGCCGUUUGACACCAGUGACAAGUGUCCCAUAAUUACAGGCAUCGUGUAUGAAUAAAGACUAUAUCACA
rnacentral:sRNA from 1 species